AAAGCCCAAAGAGAGCUCUCCGA
rnacentral:snRNA from 1 species